GCAAGCGAAAACCAUAGAAGAAUAUGCUGAAAAUCUAUGGCGGAACGUACGGUGGAUCAUGCACGCUAAAGUAUGGUUGCUCGAAUUAGAAUAUUCGACUGAUGCAGAAGAAUAAACAAUAUCAAGACCAGCAGGGCUUAAAUCACCGAAGGUUGGAGCAGAAACUUGGCAGGGAAACAUGGCCGAAGGAGGGGUGGGCAAAAGUGGCGAUAGAGGAGAGGAGCCCGGAUCCUUGCAGGGUGGGCAGCAACAGUCCAUGCACGGCGCUGGCCACUGCAAGUGGUUCAAUGUGCGGAUGGGCUUCGGGUUUAUAUCCAUGACUAGUCGUGGGGGAACUCCCGUAGAUCCUGCUAUGGAUGUAUUUGUUCACCAAACCCAGAAGACAGGAGGAAGGGCCUCUCUAUAAGAGGGGGUUUUCUGAAGCCAAAGAAAAGAUAGGUGGUGCAUGCAUGGUGGUGGUCAUGUUCCAACUUCACAACCAUGUUUUGGACAUUAUUUAACUCCUGUGUGGGCUUUAGACUGUGUAUGUUAUAGCGCUGGCUUCCUUCACCACCCUGUGCCAUUUUGCGAGAUUCUAUUGACACUUUACAGCCCAAUCAGAGCCAGAAUUCCAUCCAAUACACAAAACAAUUGCCACAUUUUAGGUGUGCUUGAUUUAGCUUGCCCAAUCCCCAUCCCGUGCAGAUCAGUUGGAUCUUGCAAUGCCAGGGUUGUGGGUUAGAUUCCCACGGGACCAGUACGAAAAUGUAUGCACUUACUACUGUAAGUUGCUCUGGAUAAGAGUGUCUGCUAAAUGACUAAAAUGUAAAUGUAGUAGGAUUUGCUUGGGCAGCAUAGGCUUGGGGAGUGGUGUGGUGGGGGACAUAGUGUAGGAUGCGAUGAGAGACUGGCUGGAGUGGAUCCUUGGUUAUGACCGCCCAUCAGUCCAUCUCAUCUCACUGUGUGUUUGGCAGGCUCCUCCUUCCUUCCAGGGCUAAUACCAGUCUUUGUUUCUUCCUCUUCCUGGUUGGUUUUUUUCCCUCAAAAGAAAAUAAAAAAUUGCUACCUACUUGUGUUCACAUGACUUCCUCCUUACAGUGAGUCAUCUGUUGAUAGAGGGACUGAAACUAGAGUAGACUGAUUUCUAUGGCCAGCUGAUGAAAUGCAUAUGACGACAGUGCAGCUAACUGCUAACCGACACUGUUGGAGCAAUACAGUUGCAGUAUGUUAUCUGUCUGUGUGCUUUUGACCACUGCUUCUGUUUGAUGUUGAAUCACUGUCUCCAUGGGCUUUCGAGACUCUGCAAUUACAAUUAAUUUUAACUGGGUACAUGAGACUGAUUUCUGGGAAUGUUUCACAAAUUUACGUGGAUUUAUAUACUGUAGGUUCCCUUGCAUAGCUUGAAUGUGACUAACAAAUGAGUAACAUGAUGCCUCUGUAGAGAGGACUGUGGAGAGACCACAUAUGGAUUUGUAGAAUGUCCUGAAGUACUGCUUCAAGUGGGGGAAUUGCUCUCUUUAAACUGGGAAUAUGUUGUAAUCUGUUGACGAUGAAACAUUUGAAGCUCAACAAAUGCCUGUGGUAUAUUCAGGAGUUAAACUAGCUGAGGCCUGACCCAGCCUGAACUCUAGGGUUUUGUCAUUUUUUCAACAUGUCUGUCCUCUCCAACCCUCUCAUUCAUAUCACGUUUCUCUCAAUCAAGCCGUCCAGUGGCAAAAGCUUCCUCCACUAUUGGAAGAGCUAUUAAAUAGACACUGUGCUGUAUAUACCCCGCACCCCUUCCUCUUUCUCAUGUCCCUCCUUUCUCCUUGAUCUCUUUUUCUGUCUUUCCCUUCUCUUCUAUGCCCUUUUUAAUUCCCACAUUCUCCAGGCCGACUUACACCCUCCCCCAAUCGAAAACAGGCAAAAUGGCUGCUGUGCUGGGUUGGUCUGUGGUAGCCCAGAGUUUAGGUGGCUCCAGCAGGGCUAACAGAGAGCUGGGCUGAGGGCUGAUGGCUCAGAUAUGUCAGGAGGAGGACAAGGUGUCUGGAGCAGAGAAUCCCAUUCCCUUUGGGAGCCUGAACCUAUAUGCUUUGACUUCUGUUGAAACUCAAAUCAGUGACUGCGAGUGACUAGUAGAAAUAUGGGCUGGAUGAGUUUUGUUGGCCUCUGUAAAGAUGAACUAGGGUUAAGUUUAGUUGCAUGUUGUUUCAUCAGGAUUCAUGAGUUAUACCGCAAUAAUUUAUGUUACUGUAAACAUAACUUUCACAGAAGUCAAAUAAUGUUUGUUUUAAUCAGUGGUAUCCCCUUUGUGUAUUAGAAAAAGUUAUUAUGUAUUGUGAACUGGGGAUAAAUUGGCUUAAUUAAUGCUGUUGUUGAGGUAACAGUAGCUGUAAAUGUAUGAAUUAAUUUUGUAAACAUUUAUUUUGGGCAAGAUCAAUGAAAAUGUAAUUAGAUGUAAAAUAGUAAAAUGGUAAAAGUUGUUUUAAAAAAGUUGUUUAAGAAAAGGAAUACAUCUCUAAUUGAGAGAUUAUUAGGAUAUUAUUUGAAUAUAUUCAAAACCUAAAUUAUCUGUGUAAUAGUAUUACCAUUAAUAUAC